AUCUGGAACUUCCUGGUACACAAAAUCAGCUGUACGGAAUAUAGCUAGCUCCAGUAUCACUCUUCGACACUCGUAAUCAGGCUAAUCUCCACGAUAAGCUAGCUUUAGAUAUUGCAAUGUUGACCACCGCCAAAAUCCAUCCGGCAGCCUCCGCUGUACUCUCCUCCACCAUCAAACACCACCUCCGGCCGCCUCCCAACGCCGUCGUAUUCAGAACCAACCCCAACUCCCUGCGACGCCGCGGAACCACAAGAACCCUCACGGUGGCAAUGGUCGCCCCUCUCGACGUUUGCGCCAAGGCCUCCACCACUGUUCCCAACAAGCUCGGCGACUGUCCGUUUUGUCAAAGGGUGUUGCUGACUCUAGAGGAAAAGCAUCUCCCUUAUGACCUGAAGUUGGUAGACUUGGGCAACAAGCCAGAAUGGUUCUUAAAAAUUAACUCGGAAGGUAAAGUUCCUGUGGUCAAACUUGAUGAGAAGUGGGUUGCGGAUUCAGAUAUUAUUACACAAGCACUGGAAGAAAAGUACCCAGAACCACCUUUGGCAACGCCCCCUGAGAAGGCUUCAGUUGGAUCAAAGAUCUUCUCUACAUUUAUCGGUUUCCUAAAGAGCAAAGACCCCAAGGAUGGAACUGAACAAGCAUUGCUAAAUGAACUUAGCUCUUUCAACGAUUAUCUCAAAGAAAAUGGUCCUUUUAUCAAUGGGAAAGAGGUUUCUGCUGCUGAUUUGUCGCUUGGACCCAAGUUGUAUCAUCUAGAGAUUGCUCUGGGGUAUUUCAAAGAUUGGUCAAUUCCUGAUUCCCUUCCAUAUGUGAAAUCUUACAUGAAGAGUAUAUUCUCACUGGAUUCAUUCGUUAAAACUAGUGCCCUGAAAGAAGAUGUCAUUGCGGGUUGGCGUCCGAAAGUCUUGGGUUAAAAUGUCUUGCUGCUGUUCUCUCUAGGUAUAUACUUUAACUUUACCUGUACUGUACCUUAAUCAAGUCAAUCAUUUCUCUAUCAUCGACUUAGUGUAUUGGAAGUCACAUUGUCAGAUGAGAGAGUACGCCGAGUUCAUAGACUCUGGCGGGAAAAAAGAAAAUCAAGAAGGACGUUGAUCAGAUGUUGGAAUAUCUCAAGUUUUGCCAUCCUUCUGUGUUUUUAUCUACUUGCCACCGAAGCUCAGCGAGAUAAUAGUACGUUGAGGCUGAAGCAAAGUGAGUGAUCUUGCAUAGCUCGAGUACAGAAGGUGAAAAUAUAGUUACAUAAAAUCGCCUAAGCAACAGUUUUCAACACAAGACGAUAAGCAUCAAACGCUAACAUUGAACUUUUCGUACAUAUUUUUCGUGUCAAUUGUGCAACAUGCAAAUGAACCCUGCUUGGUUGGGUUUUUGUGCACCCGAAUAAUAACGAACAGAAUUACAGUGUUCAA